AGCGAACGCUGGCGGCAGGCCUAACACAUGCAAGUCGAACGAACCUUUCGGGGUUAGUGGCCGACGGGUGAGUAACACGUGGGAACGUGCCUUUAGGUUCGGAAUAACUCAGGGAAACUUGUGCUAAUACCGAAUGUGCCCUUCGGGGGAAAGAUUUAUCGCCUUUAGAGCGGCCCGCGUCUGAUUAGCUAGUUGGUUGAGGUAAUGGCUCACCAAGGCGACGAUCAGUAGCUGGUCUGAGAGGAUGAUCAGCCACAUUGGGACUGAGACACGGCCCAAACUCCUACGGGAGGCAGCAGUGGGGAAUCUUGCGCAAUGGGCGAAAGCCUGACGCAGCCAUGCCGCGUGAAUGAUGAAGGUCUUAGGAUUGUAAAAUUCUUUCACCGGGGACGAUAAUGACGGUACCCGGAGAAGAAGCCCCGGCUAACUUCGUG
rnacentral:rRNA from 1 species